CUCUGCCCUGUUCUUGGAUCAGAUGAAAAAGGCAGUUCCUCUUCCUCAUUGCUGAUCAGUUGCAGCUGCAUGCUUUCCUCAUCUUAAAUCUCAGGGCUGUCCUGCUGCAGCUGUGCUUCAGCCAAAUCACUCUCAGACAACUGCUUGGAGCCAUCCCCUCCUGACAUGCGCAGAACUGGUUGAUGAGCUGACAUCUGGAGAGAAUUGUAUGGCCUGAUCCCCCUUGGAAUCAAGAUGACCCUCAAGUAUUUGUUAGAAAGGAAGAGAUCUGUGAAGAGUUGAUUAUUGUGAUGAUCUUCAAAGAAAAAAAUAAAUAAAGAGCUGGACAAGU